rnacentral:pre_miRNA from 1 species
AGAAGAAGAAGAUGAUGAUGAUGAUGAUGAUGAUGAUGAUAAUGAUUCUACAUGAUCAUCUUCCUGUCAUCAUCAUCAUCACCAUCAUCAUUAUUAUUA